rnacentral:rRNA from 1 species
CAGUCGCCGCGGGAAUACGUAGGUGGCAAGCGUUGUCCGGAAUUAUUGGGCGUAAAGCGAGCGCAGGCGGUUAGAUAAGUCUGAAGUUAAAGGCUGUGGCUUAACCAUAGUACGCUUUGGAAACUGUUUAACUUGAGUGCAAGAGGGGAGAGUGGAAUUCCAUGUGUAGCGGUGAAAUGCGUAGAUAUAUGGAGGAACACCGGUGGCGAAAGCGGCUCUCUGGCUUGUAACUGACGCUGAGGCUCGAAAGCGUGGGGAGCAAACAGGAUUAGAUACCCCAGUAGUCCCUGUCUCUUAUACA